GAAAAGCUCACAUAGAAGUUAACAUUUGAAAGCUGAAAUCAGUAGAAUUGCUAGGAGAUAAAUUUAAGGAAAUAGACUGGUAAGCAAAACAAACAAAAGCCCCUACAGAUUUCUAACAGGAAAACAGAAAAAGAAAUAAUAAAAAAGUUAAAGGAUCAAACUAGGAGCUAUAGUGUGCUUUCUGCAGUUGGAAGACCCUUAAAAAUGCACUGUUACAGUAAAUAUGAUGAAGGCUUUCCUGGAAAUGGCAUGAGCACAGUGGUAGAAGCUAGCAUCGUUAUGUAAACUGAUGUUUUCACUGUUAAAUGCCAUAAAUUUUCAUUAGGUGAUCAAUAGAAAUGACAAGAUUGCUCAGUGCUCAGCUCUGAUAUUUAAAUUCUUUCUCCUUAAUCUUAAUGAAGGCAUAUAUCACAGCAGUGGAGUGGGGUGACAUUUAAGACACUGAUACUCUGUGAUUAGAUAUGGAUCAUUCAGAGGUUAG
rnacentral:lncRNA from 1 species